rnacentral:rRNA from 1 species
UACGUAGGGGGCAAGCGUUGUCCGGAAUCAUUGGGCGUAAAGAGCGUGUAGGCGGCCCGGUAAGUCCGCUGUGAAAGUCCAGGGCUCAACCCUGGGAUGCCGGUGGAUACUGUCGGGCUCGAGUCCGGAAGAGGAGUGUGGAAUUCCUGGUGUAGCGGUGAAAUGCGCAGAUAUCAGGAGGAACACCGAUGGCGAAGGCAGGUCUCUGGGCAUUAACUGACGCUGAGGAGCGAAAGCAUGGGGAGCGAGCAGG